GAAAUGCGAUAAGUAAUGUGAAUUGCAGAAUUCAGUGAAUCAUCGAAUCUUUGAACGCAUCUUGCGCUCCUUGGUAUUCCUUGGAGCAUGCCUGUUUGAGUAUCAUGAAAUCUUCAAAGUAAAUCUUUUGUUAACUCAAUUGGUUUCUACUUUGGUAUUGGAGGUCUUUGCAGCUUCACACCUGCUCCUCUUUGUUCAUUAGCUGGAUCUCAGUGUUAUGCUUGGUUCCACUCGGCGUGAUAAGUUAUCUAUCGCUGAGGACACUGUAAAAGGUGGCCAAGGUAAAUGCAAAUGAACCGCUUCUAAUAGUCCAUUGACUUGGACAAUACUUUUAUGAUCUGAUCUCAAAUCAGGUAGGACUACCCGCUGAACUUAAGC
rnacentral:misc_RNA from 1 species